UACGGGGGGAGCAAGCGUUGUUCGGAUUUACUGGGCGUAAAGGGCGCGUAGGCGGCCUAGCAAGUCGGGUGUGAAAUCCCUCGGCUUAACCGAGGAAGUGCAUUCGAAACUACUGGGCUUGAAUACUGAAGAGGGUCUCGGAAUUCCCAGUGUAGAGGUGAAAUUCGUAGAUAUCGGGAGGAACACCAGUGGCGAAGGCGGAGACCUGGGCAGAUAUUGACGCUGAGGUGCGAAAGCGUGGGGAGCAAACAGG
rnacentral:rRNA from 1 species